rnacentral:rRNA from 1 species
GGCGAACGGGUGCGUAAUGCAUGGGAAUCUGCCUAGUAGUGGGGAAUAACCCGGCGAAAGCCGGGCUAAUGCCGCAUACGACCUACGGGUGAAAGCGGGGGAUCGCAAGACCUCGCGCUAUUAGAUGAGCCCAUGUCGGAUUAGCUAGUUGGUAGGGUAACGGCCUACCAAGGCGACGAUCCGUAGCUGGUCUGAGAGGACGGCCAGCCACACUGGGACUGAGACACGGCCCAGACUCCUACGGGAGGCAGCAGUGGGGAAUUUUGGACAAUGGGGGCAACCCUGAUCCAGCGACGCCGCGUGUGUGAAGAAGGCCUGCGGGUUGUAAAGCACUUUCGUUGGGAACGAAAUAUGCCGACCUAAUACGUCGGUAGGCUGACGUUACCCAAAUAAGAAGCACCGGCUAACUCUGUGCCAGCAGCCGCGGUAAUACAGAGGGUGCGAGCGUUAAUCGGAAUUACUGGGCGUAAAGCGCACGUAGGCGGCUAUGUAAGUCAGAUGUGAAAUCCCCGGGCUCAACCUGGGAACUGCAUUUGA